GAUGAACGCUGGCGGCGUGCCUAAUACAUGCCAGUCGAGCGAACGGACGAGAAGCUUGCUUCUCUGAUGUUAGCGGCGGACGGGUGAGUAACACGUGGAUAACCUACCUAUAAGACUGGGAUAACUUCGGGAAACCGUAGCUAAUACCGGAUAAUAUUUUGAACCGCAUGGUUCAAAAGUGAAAGACGGUCUUGCUGUCACUUAUAGAUGGAUCCGCGCUGCAUUAGCUAGUUGGUAAGGUAACGGCUUACCAAGGCAACGAUGCAUAGCCGACCUGAGAGGGUGAUCGGCCACACUGGAACUGAGACACGGUCCAGACUCCUACGGGAGGCAGCAGUAGGGAAUAUUCCGCAAUGGGCGAAAGCCUGACGGAGCAACGCCGCGUGAGUGAUGAAGGUCUUCGGAUCGUAAAACUCUGUUAUUAGUGAAGAACAUAUGUGUAAGUAACUGUGCACAUCUUGACGGUACCUAAUCAGAAAGCCACGGCUAACUACGUG
rnacentral:rRNA from 1 species